AAUAACUCAAAGACUAUUUGAAAGAUCAAAAAACUGUUUAAAAGUCUUAUAUGCGGUUUUUUGUACGUUUUCCGAUGAUGCAACUCAUUUUUAUCAGUAAUGGAAUUAUAAAAUUUCCCAUUUUUUGCUGUAAUAGGCUACAAUUUAAUAGAGGAUAAUCAUUGAUCACCCAUUUUCCCGGUAUUUGGCAACUUUUUGCUUGGGAACUUUUUUUUGGUAGUGAUGUACCUAUAUGCCUUUCAAAUAAACCCCAAACCAAGUAUUUCCCACAUGGGUGCCACGAAGCGAAAUAAUUUUGGCCAACAGCCCACGGCCCGAUAUGACAAGUCUUUGUCGAUUGCACGUGUGUAGCAAGUUUUUGUUUUUCUGCAUGACCGCCACGAUAUCUGAUUAGCUAUCAAUGAACAUGCAAUAUAGAUCGCUGGCCAAUUAAUCCGCAUGUACGUGAGCAAAUUGCUUUGCCAAAUAAUUUUCUUUGUUGAUUUUGCCAAUUUUUCUGUGACGUUUACUUGUCAUAGUAAAAAUUGGCAAACGGUUGCCUACACAGACGAGCAUAUAAAACUUGUCAUAUCGGAAAACUUGCUCAUCUGUAACCGGCUUAGUACGACCACAACCAACAAUAUAGCUCUCACAACAUCCACAAUUGCGCAGGCAGGCAGCAACUCUCUCAGACUCGGAACUUAAAAACUAAAGCUGAAUUUCGGGGUGAAGUACUUCGGUUGUACUGUGGUCCAGCGACUCAUUAUAGCUUUAUAUGAGUUUCAAGCUUAGUAGUUGAAUAUUACAGCUUUUGUGAAUGAAUUGUUCUCAUAAGGAGAUAUUUAGCCCCAUAUAUGAUCUCUAAACUGAUUAAAUAGUUAUGCCCCGGCCCAUUAGGCUUUGCAUGCUUAGAGUUUAAGGUUUAAGGUUUAGAGUAAGUAUAGGUUUGCAAAGG